rnacentral:rRNA from 1 species
GAUUAACGCUAGCGGCAGGCAUAAUACAUGCAAGUUGAACGGGAUUAGUUGUAGCAAUAUGACUAUGAGAGUAGCGCACGGGUGCGUAACGCGUAUGCAACCUGCCUUCAUCUGGGGAAUAGCCCCCUCGAAAGAGGGAUUAAUACCGCAUAACAUAGUGAGUAGGCAUCUACUUACUAUUAAAACUACGGUGGAUGAAGAUGGGCAUGCGUGACAUUAGCUAGUUGGUAGGGUAAUGGCCUACCAAGGCUACGAUGUCUAGGGGGUCUGAGAGGAUGUCCCCCCACACUGGUACUGAGAUACGGACCAGACUCCUACGGGAGGCAGCAGUAGGGAAUAUGGUCAAUGGGCGCAAGCCUGAACCAGCCAUGCCGCGUGCAGGAUGACGGCCCUAAUGGGUUGUAAAACUGCUUUUGUACGGGAAGAAACCUCAUUACGUGUAAUGAGUUGACGGUACCGUGAGAAUAAGGAUCGGCUAACUUCGUGCCAGCAGCCGACGG